AGAGUUUGAUCCUGGCUCAGGAUGAACGCUGGCGGCGUGCUUAACACAUGCAAGUCGAGCGAAGCACUUUGAAGUUUUCGGACAGAUGAGUGACUGAGCGGCGGACGGGUGAGUAACGCGUGGGUAACCUGCCUCACACAGGGGGAUAACAGUUAGAAAUGACUGCUAAUACCGCAUAAGACCACAGCACCGCAUGGUGCAGGGGUAAAAACUCCGGUGGUGUGAGAUGGACCCGCGUCUGAUUAGCUAGUUGGUGAGGUAACGGCUCACCAAGGCGACGAUCAGUAGCCGACCUGAGAGGGUGACCGGCCACAUUGGGACUGAGACACGGCCCAAACUCCUACGGGAGGCAGCAGUGGGGAAUAUUGCACAAUGGGCGAAAGCCUGAUGCAGCGACGCCGCGUGAAGGAUGAAGUAUUUCGGUAUGUAAACUUUCUAUCAGCAGGGAAGAAAAUGACGGUACCUGACUAAAAGCCCCGGCUAACUACGUGCCAGCAGCCGCGGU
rnacentral:rRNA from 1 species